GAGACCCAGACAUGGAAACCGGAGAUCAUCUCCGUUAGCAUUCAUGCCCCAAUCACAGGCUCUCUUGGCUUCGUGGUCAGUUCUGAUAGAGCUGGCCCAGCACAGUCCUCUGCUGCCAGCCUGCACCACACUGUCACCCAAAUGCCUGCUUAGGCAGAGAAGUCACCAGGACGGACAAGGGCGAGUACACCCCUGCUGGCAUGCGCUCAGAGUUCAGAAUCUCCCUGUGCCCAAGAACAGGUGCCACAUUCGGGCACACUCCAGGAGGCAAGGCUGAGAACAGCUCUCAGAGUCAGUGCACAUGCAGCUCCUCUGCCCGGGGCGAGUUAGGCAUGGCUCCCGCAGACUGGCGGUGCCAAUCCCCUCUUUGGCUGCCAUGUCGCUUCCUAAGUUAGGGACCAUCAGAUGUGUCCAAAGCAGCAUCUUCAGCAGAGCAGGCACCUGGCGAAGGCUGCUCCCUGCCCAGAGCCCAGCUUGCUCGUGUUGGGGGGCUACCUUCAUGAGCUCUUUAUCUGCUUCCGACGAAUCCUCCUUGCUGUAAUGAAGCAGCAUCUCACUUAGCAGCUUCACGUUGUUGUUCACCUCCUCUAAGGUGUGCAGGCGCUUGGUCACCUUCUGGACCCGUGCCUCAUCCUGCAGAGGAUCAAGGAGAAAGCUCAACUAGACUCAUCCCACUGCCCCCCAAGUCCCACGGGGCCUGAGUCACCCCGGGGAACACUAGAGUGAGGCCACUCCUGGAGGCUCCCCAACGCACGGUGCUUAGGAGCCAUGGGCCUCAGAACGUUAGCAGGUUUUCUGUUAAAGUGACAGUCCUGUCCCCGUCCACUACUGCUCCGCUAUGCCGUCCACAGCCUCCAGGGGUGGCCUGGUGGCAGGGGCGAAGAGCAAGCUUGAUGCCAAGGGAAAGGACUUCUGCUCCAUGUCAUGGGCUCCUCCACCCCACACCCAGGCCCAGAGCCCACUCACUUCCUUCACCAUGGACUUGAUCAGCUUGUUGGCCUCUUGCAGGUCAUCUGGGUUUUUGCUUUUCAACAAUUUGGCUAAAAGCUGGGUGAGAAGAGUAUCAAAGGUGAAGGCGAAGGUAGCACUCCAGCUGGGGAACGGGAGCUCCCUGCAGCAUGAGCAAUGCCACACCUCCCUGAGGACUGCAGGCUGGAUGCACUUUACCUUGGAUUUCUCCUCGUCAUCAAACACAGGGUUUUUGGGACGAGGCGGUGGAGAAGGGAUCAGGGUCCUGUCCACAGGGAUCAGGGGGUCAGACUGCACUAUGCCUGAAAGGUGACACAGGUAGAGGGUUUGCUCACAGCCAGGGGACACAUUCCUGUGAUCAGGACCUGUAGGGGCAGGGACAAGCAGGCUCCACACAGCUCCCAUCAACCUCCCAUUGUCUUCAGGAGGGAGGAAGGGGUGUAGCUUGGGGGCAGCAGACACCCCUCAUUUUCCUGGCCUCAGCCAGCCUUUGGGCUGUACGGAGGCUGAGGCGGGCAGGCACAUACCCUGUCUCUUCAGCAUGUGGUAAGCAUCUUUGAUCUUUGAUUCUUCCGGCAGGGCCAAAGUCCAGCUAUAAAGCAGCUCAAUAACCUUGGUCUUCACUUUGUCAGACACCCUGUCCCCCAGGUACUAAGAGGCAAAAGGAAAUCGGUAAUUGGAGUCUGGAGGCAGAAACAGUGGGAAGGCGCUCUCGCAGCAAUGAAAUGGUCACUAAAGUUAAGAGCCCUCAGACGUAUGGGAAGCCAGCAGGGAUCAGGUGUGAGGCAGCAGGGUGGGGAGAGGACACUGCCUGGGGCCGAGCUGUAUCCACCUGGGGUUAGGCAGGGGGCUGGGAUCUCAGCCCUGAGUUCCCAUGCACAAUCUGCCAGGAACUACACUUUAUCUCAAAGGAGCCAGUGUCUGUAGCACAAGAAUUGUUCCCUCUGCUAUAAGUUGGUGCCCAGAGCAUAAGCAACACGAGUGAGCAACAGAACCUGAGUAGCUCAGUAAGGGAGGCUAGCUCCUUGUGUCCAUGAGGCCGGCCACACACCUGGCUUCUGUGCUAGAAGCCAAAGGCCUGUGCCGUCCAGGCCCUCCCCAGAUACACAGCGGCUGCCCUGCUGCUUGUAUUUAGGCUGGGAGCCUGCCAGAGAGGUCUGCCUGUCCCUGUGACCUGUGGUGUCAUCCGCUCCCCACAGGGCCCCGCGCUCCAAGGACGGGAGGCGAAGAAAUUCGGAUCCAUGAGUUGCUGGCUGUGCAGUAACAGCGAGUAGGUGAAGGAGGGGGAGACACACUAAGGAAGUUCCUAGAAAUUAGGAAACUGCACUGACUGACCUUUGGAGAGACGACUUUGAUCAACUCAUUCAAGAACCGGAACUUGCCCACUUCGUUGUGAAAUCUCCGCCCACAGUUCUUCAUACAGGCCUCCAGCACCUGCAGACACACAGGAGAACUCGUGGGGGUGCCGCAAGAUGCUGCCAUUUUAGAGGAGGAAAGAGGCCCCGAGAAUGACUCUCAUUCUGGGUCCAGGGUUCUUUCCACAAGCUGAUCAACAAUGUGGGGAGGUGGGAGGUAAAAGUUUUAAUUGUUUCCUAGUUUUUAGAUGACAUGCUAUGUUCCUUCCCCCUGCUCCCAUUUAUUUUCCUCUGGGACCAUAGAACUAUCAUCAGCUUUCCUCUGCCUGCAGUUUAGCCAAGGAGCACGCCAGCCCAGGGUCCCGUCCUUGCUUCCGUCUCUGUAGAGCAGGGCUUUUUAGCUGUGCAAUCACUGACAGUUUGCGCUGGUCAUUUCUCAUGAAAGCCUGUCCCAUGUGUUGCAGGGUGUUUAUAUACCCACCUGAUGCCAGUAGCAUCUGUGACAUGAAGCAACCAAAAGUGUCUCCAUCUAUCAUCAAAUGUCCAAAACCACCGAGAGCCUCUCUGAAGGCCGCUGCUCCACUUUAAUCGCGACAAAGGCGCACGUGGGCUUCCUCUCUCCCCCUUCCUAGCACCGCCGUGGUCAUACAGAACCCUGGGGUGACUCCUCCGGUCUCGGUGAGAGGAUCUGUGCUUGAAUCUUGUUUGCCUGAAUAACCUCUAGAUCUGCCUCUUGGUGUGACGCCUUCCCUUGGUGUGAUGCAUUACUUUUUGCGCCGGAAUGACUUCUACUCACUUCCAUUUUCUUCAGUUGGCCAGCUCUUAACCGGCAGGACAGCUCUGUCAACAUCUCUUCCAGAAGCCUCCUCUGAGCCCCCCACUCCCCCUUCCCGGCUCAGGGUCUGCCUCUGGCUCCCUCCCUCAGCCUCUGCUUCGCCCACUAGACCUCAGUGCCGGGCAGUCAGCUUUGAAGCCCCAGUGCCUGGCACAAGGGCGCGCACGUUUUUAAAACAUCUGACCAACAUUCUAGAACAGCCUGGGCUCAGGAAGACCCACCCUCAGCAUGAAAAACCUACCGUCAGGGCCUGGACUGCCUCCCAUUCCUGUGGGGACUGGAUCUUAUGGGCCAGCAGUCGGACAGCGAUCUGUGGCCUAGGAGACAAGCAGACCACAUUUUCAGUCGCUGACCCUGAGCCCCUCUGGCUAGACCGCCUCGGCCUCAGCUUUGUGCCUUCCCAGUGACUGACACCUGUCCCCUUAUAGCUCUGAGACUCACCCUUCCAGCUCCUUGUUGAUCUGAUCACAGAAGCCGAUUAUGUAUUCCCAGUCCUCCUGGCGGUUGGAAGGAUUGGUGGCCUUAUCUUGGGACA